rnacentral:rRNA from 1 species
UACGUAGGGGGCAAGCGUUGUCCGGAAUCAUUGGGCGUAAAGAGCGUGUAGGCGGCCUGGUAAGUCCGCUGUGAAAGUCCAGGGCUCAACCCUGGAAUGCCGGUGGAAACUGUCGGGCUAGAGUCCGGAAGAGGCGAGUGGAAUUCCGCGUGUAGCAGUGAAAUGCGUAGAGAUGCGGAGGAACACCGAUGGCGAAGGCAGCCCCCUGGGCUAACACUGACGCUGAGGCACGAAAGCGUGGGGAGCAAACAGG